UUCAUCUUUUGGCCAAAUAGC
rnacentral:siRNA from 1 species